rnacentral:rRNA from 1 species
GAACGAACGCUGGCGGCGGGCUUCAUACAUGCAAGUCGAGCGGAAAGGCCCCUUCGGGGGUACUCGAGCGGCGAACGGGUGAGUAACAGGUGGACAACCUGCCUUUCGGUGGGGGAUAACGGCCGGAAACGGCCGCUAAUACCGCAUACGGUCAUCGGGCCGCCUGGUCUGAUGAAGAAAGGGGCUUCGGCCUCGCCGAGAGAUGGGUCCGCCUCCCAUUAGCUAGUUGGUGAGAUAACAGCUCACCAAGGCAACGAUGGGUAGCCGAGCUGAGAGGUUGAUCGGCCACACUGGAACUGAGACACGGUCCAGACACCUACGGGUGGCAGCAGUAGGGAAUAUUGCGCAAUGGGCGAAAGCCUGACGCAGCCACGCCGCGUGGGGGAUGAAGGCCUUCGGGUCGUAAACCCCUUUUCUGAGGAAAGAACCCUCGGUGGAGGUAAUGCCACCGGGCUGACGGUACCUCAGGAAUAAGCAACGGCUAACUCCGUGCCAGCAACCGCGGUAAGACGGAGGUUGCAAGCGUUGUUCGGAAUUACUGGGCGUAAGGGGGGCGCAGGCGGCCAGGCAAGUGGAAAGUGGAAUCCCGGGGCCCAACUUCGGAAGUGCUUUCCAAACUGCCUGGCUUGAGUCCGGAAUAGGAAGAUGGAAUUCCAGGUGUAGCGGUGAAAUGCGUAGAUAUCUGGAGGAACACCAAUGGCGAAAGCAAUCUUCUGGUCCGGUACUGACGCUCAGGCCCGAAAGCGUGGGGAGCGAACAGGAUUAGAUACCCUGGUAGUCCACGCCGUAAACUUUGUGCACUAGGU